AGAACGCUCUGCUGGAAAGACCUGGGCAGAAAUGAAGAGAACCACCUGCAGAGAUGAAGAGCCUGAUGGGAACCAUGCCACGCUUUCGUCUUAAAGAAAGAAGGUGCAUCAGUUAGGAUUGAGAGUUCUUUGUUGUUUCAGAUUGUAGAAAGCUAUCAAAGUGGUCUGUGGAAACUUUGCUUGUUUUUUUUUUUUUCUUUGUGUAACGAUUUACUUGGGGAUAUAUAUAAUCAUAAGCAUGAUACUAUUAGAUACCGCUAUAAGUAAACAUGUGCACCUCCUUGUGAUUCUUUCCUCUAUAAUUGCUACCCCUAAAGAUUUCAGAUAAACUUGAAGGGAACUGCAGGGAGAUCAACCUUUUGGGGGCUGUUGGACACGGAUAGAAAUUAGUGGGAGAAAGUUCAGGGAUGAUUGGAUAAAAAUAACUAUAGAUGGUAAAGAUUCAUGGAAGUUACAGAAAAGUGAUGAAUAAGAACCGUUGGUUAUGCCCCUGUCAGUGGCCCUUCUUCUUACCCCUGCCCCUUCCUAACUCCGCACUGCCCACCUGCCCCUGCGCCACCUCCCUACCCUUGCCCAUUUAUUGCUAUUUACUCUGUAUAGAUCCAUAAUAACUAUAAAUAAUAAUAAUUUCUUCUUUCAAUAAUUAUUUCUUGUGCAUUUUGUAUUAGCUACACUCUUUAGGAAAAAAUGAAUAAUAGUGGGUGAAUAGUAGAUAUUCUCGGAGAAGGCAAUGGCACCCCACUCCAGUACUCUUGCCUGGAAAAUCCCAGGGACGGGGGAACCUGGUGGGCUGCCGUCUAUGGGGUCGCACAGAGUCGGACACGACUGAGCGACUUCACUUUCACUUUUCACUUUCAUGCAUUGGAGAAGGAAAUGGCAACCCACUCCAGUGUUCUUGCCUGGAGAAUCCCAAGGAUGGGGGAGCCUGGUGGGCUGCCAUCUAUGGGGUCGCACAGAGUCGGACACGACUGAAGCGACUUAGCAGCAGCAGCAGCCUAACUUCUAUAUCCCAAGAUCACUAACCCUUUCUUGCAUAUUGUUAUAUUUGC
rnacentral:lncRNA from 1 species